GUACACUCCUGCGGGAGGCAGCAGUGGGGAAUAUUGGACAAUGGGCGCAAGCCUGAUCCAGCCAUGCCGCGUGAGUGAUGAAGGCCCUAGGGUUGUAAAGCUCUUUCACCGGUGAAGAUAAUGACGGUAACCGGAGAAGAAGCCCCGGCUAACUUCGUGCCAGCAGCCGCGGUAAUACGAAGGGGGCUAGCGUUGUUCGGAUUUACUGGGCGUAAAGCGCACGUAGGCGGACUAUUAAGUCAGGGGUGAAAUCCCGGGGCUCAACCCCGGAACUGCCUUUGAUACUGGUAGUCUUGAGUUCGAGAGAGGUGAGUGGAAUUCCGAGUGUAGAGGUGAAAUUCGUAGAUAUUCGGAGGAACACCAGUGGCGAAGGCGGCUCACUGGCUCGAUACUGACGCUGAGGUGCGAAAGCGUGGGGAGCAAACAGGAUUAGAAACCCUGGUAGUCCCAUG
rnacentral:rRNA from 1 species